rnacentral:rRNA from 1 species
GGCGAGUGGCGAACGGGUGAGUAAUACAUCGGAACGUGCCCUGUCGUGGGGGAUAACUAGUCGAAAGAUUAGCUAAUACCGCAUACGACCUGAGGGUGAAAGCGGGGGACCGCAAGGCCUCGCGCGACAGGAGCGGCCGAUGUCUGAUUAGCUAGUUGGUGGGGUAAAAGCCUACCAAGGCGACGAUCAGUAGCUGGUCUGAGAGGACGAUCAGCCACACUGGGACUGAGACACGGCCCAGACUCCUACGGGAGGCAGCAGUGGGGAAUUUUGGACAAUGGGGGCAACCCUGAUCCAGCAAUGCCGCGUGUGUGAAGAAGGCCUUCGGGUUGUAAAGCACUUUUGUCCGGAAAGAAAUGGCUCUGGUUAAUACCCGGGGUCGAUGACGGUACCGGAAGAAUAAGCACCGGCUAACUACGUGCCAGCAGCCGCGGUAAUACGUAGGGUGCGAGCGUUAAUCGGAAUUACUGGGCGUAAAGCGUGCGCAGGCGGUUUUGUAAGACAGGCGUGAAAUCCCCGAGCUCAACUUGGGAAUGGCGCUUGUGACUGCAAGGCUAGAGUAUGUCAGAGGGGGGUAGAAUUCCACGUGUAGCAGUGAAAUGCGUAGAGAUGUGGAGGAAUACCGAUGGCGAAGGCAGCCCCCUGGGACGUCACUGACGCUCAUGCACGAAAAGCGUGGGGAGCAAACAGGGAUUAGAUACCCUGGUAGUCCACGCCCUAAACGAUGUCAACUAGUUGUUGGGGAUUCAUUUCUUCAGUAACGUAGCUAACGCGUGAAGUUUGACCGCCUGGGGAGUACGGGUCGCAAGAUUAAAACUUCAAAGGGAAUUGACGGGGACCCGCACAAGCGGUGGGAUGAUGUGGAUUUAAUCGAUUGCACGCGAAAAACCUUACCUACCCUUGACAUGCCCACUAACGAAGCAGA